AUACCCCGGUAGUCCUGGCCAUAAACGAUGUCUACUAGAUCUGAGGUGUUUUGACACACUUCUGGUCGUAACAAAAGCGUUAAGUAGACCGCCUGGGGAGUACGGUCGCAAGGCUAAAACUCAAAGGAAUUGACGGGGGCUCACACAAGCGGUGGAGCAUGUUGCUUAAUUCGAUGCAACGCGAAGAACCUUAUCCUGGGCUUGACAUGCUUGGAUGCCCAUCUAGAAAUAGAGUAGGCUGCCCUUCGGGCUGAAACUUGCACAGGUGCUGCAUGGCUGUCGUCAGCUCGUGUCGUGAGAUGUUGGGUUAAGUCCCGUAACGAGCGAAACCCUUGUCGUUAGUUGCCAGCGAGUAAAGUCGGGGACUCUAACGAGACUGCCGGUGUUAAACCGGAGGAAGGUGGGGAUGACGUCAAGUCCUCAUGGCCUUUAUGCCCAGGGCUGCAAACGUGCUACAAUGGCGUGUACAAACCGAUGCAAGACCGCGAGGUGGAGCAAAUCGGAAAAAGCACGCCCCAGUUCGGAUUGGAGUCUGCAACUCGACUCCAUGAAGUUGGAAUCGCUAGUAAUCGCCGCUCCGCAAUGCUGCGCUGAAUGUGUUCCUGAGCANUGUACACACCGCCCGUCAAGUCAUGGAAGCCGGGAGCACC
rnacentral:rRNA from 1 species